UAGUGGGGGAUAGCCCGGCGAAAGCCGGAUUAAUACCGCAUACGAUCUACGGAUGAAAGCGGGGGACCUUCGGGCCUCGCGCUAUAGGGUUGGCCGAUGGCUGAUUAGCUAGUUGGUGGGGUAAAGGCCUACCAAGGCGACGAUCAGUAGCUGGUCUGAGAGGACGACCAGCCACACUGGGACUGAGACACGGCCCAGACUCCUACGGGAGGCAGCAGUGGGGAAUUUUGGACAAUGGGCGAAAGCCUGAUCCAGCAAUGCCGCGUGUGUGAAGAAGGCCUUCGGGUUGUAAAGCACUUUUGUCCGGAAAGAAAUCCUUGGUUCUAAUAUAGCCGGGGGAUGACGGUACCGGAAGAAUAAGCACCGGCUAACUACGUGCCAGCAGCCGCGGUAAUACGUAGGGUGCGAGCGUUAAUCGGAAUUACUGGGCGUAAAGCGUGCGCAGGCGGUUUGCUAAGACCGAUGUGAAAUCCCCGGGCUCAACCUGGGAACUGCAUUGGUGACUGGCAGGCUAGAGUAUGGCAGAGGGGGGUAGAAUUCCACGUGUAGCAG
rnacentral:rRNA from 1 species